rnacentral:rRNA from 1 species
GACAGAGGGUGCAAACGUUGCUCGGAAUUACUGGGCGUAAAGCGCGUGUAGGCGGUUCCGCAAGUCAGGUGUGAAAGCCCAGGGCUCAACCCUGGAAGUGCACUUGAUACUACGGAGCUUGAGUACUGAAGAGGAGAGUGGAAUUCCCGGUGUAGAGGCGAAAUUCGUAGAUAUCGGGAGGAACACCAGUGGCGAAGGCGGCUCUCUGGGCAGAUACUGACGCUGAGAAGCGAAAGCAUGGGGAGCGAACAGG